ACUCACAACGUGCCCAACCUCACCUCUUAGUUCACCGUCCGUUCACUUGGCUCACCGCGCCAAUGACUAUCACCGACGUCGGUGCUGGCUUACAGACUAACUACCACCACCAUUAGAAGCACAGCGACAAGCUAAGCACGAAUAUAGGGACGAAAUUGUGAAACAGUCUCUAUAUUGGUCGAAUCGAACAGCCAAAUGAAGGAACCCUAGCUAUCUACAAGUUAAAUUAAACGGUGCUCGGUGCAAAUCGAUCCCUAAUACUAUGGGGAUUCUUCUUCCUAACCUAGGUACUACAUCUUGGUGAGCUCAGAAUAAUAAAAUGACACUGAAAGGAAAAUGACAUACCAGAGAAGAUGAUCAAAAAAUCCACCGGAUACAGGGCCAAUGCACUUUGCUUCCAAAUUCAUGAUUCAAGUAAACUCAAUAUGUUGGUAGCUCCAUUUUGCUUGUUGCAUACCUUGAGGUAUGUCUCAUUAUUGUGACUUGGUUGUAGCAGUCAUGAGUCCAGUUGGUGGAUAAGCUGUAGUUGUCAAUGGCCAUGAUAGUUAUGUCUUGUAACCUGGUUUUGUUGGUAUAACACAGUUAGGUAGGCUUAGGAUCUAGUAUGCACAUAGCUAGAUAGCCCAAUGCUUAUAGCUUGCUGACAACUUAUCAUGGUCUGCUGUUGCUUGUAAGCGGGCCAACAUGCCUAGGUUCCCAUUGCCCUAUAUUUUGUUGCUUUGAUUCUUCUUGCACAAGGUGUAAUCUUGAUGCAAGUUUUGUGGUCAUGUAAGGCAUUCAUGAGCUACCACAUACAUGUAAUGAUGUUGUGGCUUACUUGUGGUCUUGGUGUUGACACAAAUUCAGUCUGUUAGUUGAUGUUGCUUGGGACAACCCUUGGUGACUUGAUGCAGAUUGGUGCAGAAUACUCGCAAGGUUGUUUUGCACUCAGGUAUGCAACUGGAUUUGCAGCCUUGUUAACCAUUCAAAUUGAUGUGGCCUGGUUUAGGUUUAUGCCAGUCACCUGUUAUGUUGCUGUUUGCAGGUUUUAGCCAUGGUGUUUAGUGAUGAUGGCAAGAGUACACAUAAUAUGGAAUGGACUUACAUCAGGUGUAAGGAUCAUGGGGGUUUCUAGGUUGCAGCUUCCAUGAGCCAUCAUCACCAUAAACUGCAAGUGUGAGUAUGUCUGAUGGUCAGGUAAAGGUUAUGUUGCUGCUGCAGGGUAUUAGGAAAGGCAAUCUGCAGCAUGAUAUUGAACUGACUGUUGCAGUAGCAGGGCUGGCAUGUCAUGUAUUCCCAUUGGCUUGAUCAUACAUUUCCAUGGUUUGAUGUCUAAGGUUUUUGUUGCAGGCAAGGGUGAUAAGCAGUGAACAAGUGUUGGGAUGUGUUAGACCUCUUUGGGAAUUGACUAGGGAGAAACCAAAGCCAAAGGUUAUUGGUUCCAAAAUGCCAAAUGAUAAGGUUUGCACAAUGUGAGUUACUUGUGAUGGAAGUAAUCAAGAAAAACACCACCAAGCAUGAAGGUUGGAUGAUUCACUACAGCAAAAUGCCAGGCCAAGUUAGGAUAGUCAAGAGCAAGUGAGAGUUGACUUUGGUCAAAGUUGACCAAAAAGUCAACUAUUGACCAAAGUCAACAAAUGGUCAAAAAUGCAUUUUCUUUGUAAAUGGACAAUGAAUUGUUGGUUAAGGUGAAAUUUAGGGUUUUUGGAUUUUGGGUUGACUUUGGUCAAAGUUGACCAAAAAGUCAACUGUUGACCAAAGUCAACAUUUGGUCAAAAUGUCAAGACUUGUAUUUUCUUAUGUA